UUAUCAGCGAAACUGCGAAUGGCUCAUUAUAUAAGUUAUCGUUUAUUUGAUAGUACCUUACUACUUGGAUAACCGUGGUAAUUCUAGAGCUAAUACAUGCUGAAAAUCCCGACUUCGGAAGGGAUGUAUUUAUUAGAUUAAAAACCAAUGCCCUCUGGGCUCUCUGGUGAUUCAUAAUAACUUCUCGAAUCGCAUGGCCUUGCGCCGGCGAUGGUUCAUUCAAAUUUCUUCCCUAUCAACUUUCGAUGUUUGGGUAGUGGCCAAACAUGGUUGCAACGGGUAACGGAGGGUUAGGGCUCGACCCCGGAGAAGGAGCCUGAGAAACGGCUACUACAUCCAAGGAAGGCAGCAGGCGCGCAAAUUACCCAAUCCCGAUUCGGGGAGGUAGUGACAAUAAAUACUGAUACAGGGCUCUUUUGGGUCUUGUAAUUGGAAUGAGUACAAUUUAAAUCCCUUAACGAGGAACAAUUGGAGGGCAAGUCUGGUGCCAGCAGCCGCGGUAAUUCCAGCUCCAAUAGCGUAUAUUAAAGUUGUUGUGGUUAAAAAGCUCGUAGUUGAACCUUGGGCCUGGCUGGCCGGUCCGCCUCACCGCGUGUACUGGUCCGGCCGGGUCUUUCCCUCUGUGGAACCCCAUGCCCUUCACUGGGUGUGGCGGGGAAACAGGACUUUUACUUUGAAAAAAUUAGAGUGCUCCAGGCAGGCCUAUGCUCGAAUACAUUAGCAUGGAAUAAUGAAAUAGGACGUGCGGUUCUAUUUUGUUGGUUUCUAGGACCGCCGUAAUGAUUAAUAGGGACAGUCGGGGGCAUCAGUAUUCAAUUGUCAGAGGUGAAAUUCUUGGAUUUAUUGAAGACUAACUACUGCGAAAGCAUUUGCCAAGGAUGUUUUCAUUAAUCAGGAACGAAAGUUAGGGGAUCGAAGACGAUCAGAUACCGUCGUAGUCUUAACCAUAAACUAUGCCGACUAGGGAUCGGACGAUGUUAUUUUUUGACUCGUUCGGCACCUUACGAGAAAUCAAAGUGC
rnacentral:rRNA from 1 species